CACGUAGGGGGCAAGCGUUUGUCCGGAUUUAUUGGGCGUAAAGAGCUCGUAGGUGGCUGAGUAAGUCGGAUGUUAAAUCCCCAGGCUCAACCUGGGACACCACCCGAUACUGCUCUGGCUAGAGUCCGGUAGGGGAGCGUGGAAUUCCUGGUGUAGCGGUGAAAUGCGCAGAUAUCAGGAGGAACACCGGUGGCGAAGGCGGUUCUCUGGGCAGUAACUGACGCUGAGGAGCGAAAGCGUGGGGAGCGAACAGG
rnacentral:rRNA from 1 species